UGGGGAAUUUUGCGCAAUGGGCGAAAGCCUGACGCAGCAACGCCGCGUGGGUGAUGAAGGUCUUCGGAUCGUAAAACCCUGUCGUCAGGGACGAAGGUUCUGGGGUGAACAGCCAGGAUUUGACGGUACCUGGAGAGGAAGCCCCGGCUAACUCUGUGCCAGCAGCCGCGGUAAUACAGAGGGGGCAAGCGUUAUUCGGAAUUAUUGGGCGUAAAGGGCGCGUAGGCGGUGUCUUAAGUGGGAUGUGCAAUCCCCGGGCUUAACCGGGGAAAGGCAUCCCAGACUGGGAGGCUGGAGUACUGGAGAGGGUGGUGGAAUUCCACGUGUAGCGGUGAAAUGCGUAGAGAUGUGGAGGAACACCAGUGGCGAAGGCGGCCACCUGGACAGUAACUGACGCUGAGACGCGAAAGCUAGGGUAGCAAACG
rnacentral:rRNA from 1 species